rnacentral:rRNA from 1 species
GGGCCCGCACAAGCGGUGGAGCAUGUGGUUUAAUUCGAUGAUACGCGAGGAACCUUACCAGGGUUUAAAUGCAGAACGACAGGGGUGGAAACACCUCCUUCUUCGGACGGUCUGCAAGGUGCUGCAUGGUUGUCGUCAGCUCGUGCUGUGAAGUGUCGGGUUAAGUCCCAUAACGAGCGCAACCCCUAUUUCUAGUUGCCAGCGGUUCGGCCGGGGACUCUAGAGAAACUGCCAGCGUAAGCUGUGAGGAAGGUGGGGAUGACGUCAAAUCAUCACGGCCCUUACGUCCUGGGCCACACACGUGCUACAAUGGUAAGGACAGAGAGUUGCCAACCCGCGAGGGUGAGCUAAUCUUUAAACCCUAUCACAGUUCGGAUCGGAGUCUGCAACUCGACUCCGUGAAGCUGGAAUC